UACGAAGGGGGCUAGCGUUGCUCGGAAUCACUGGGCGUAAAGCGCACGUAGGCGGAUUGUUAAGUCAGGGGGUGAAAUCCUGGAGCUCAACUCCAGAACUGCCUUUGAUACUGACGGUCUUGAGUUCGGGAGAGGUGAGUGGAACUGCGAGUGUAGAGGUGAAAUUCGUAGAUAUUCGCAAGAACACCAGUGGCGAAGGCGGCUCACUGGCCCGAUACUGACGCUGAGGUGCGAAAGCGUGGGGAGCAAACAGG
rnacentral:rRNA from 1 species